GUCGAGAAUCUUCCGCAAUGCGCGAAAGCGUGACGGAGCGACACCGCGUGAUGGAUGAAGUCCUUCGGGGCGUAAACAUCUUUUAUAAAGGAGGAAAUUUUUGACGUUACUUUAUGAAUAAGGGGCUCCCAAUCUCGUGCCAGCAGGAGCGGUAAUACGAGAGCCUCAAGCGUUAUCCGGAAUCAUUGGGCGUAAAGGGUGCGUAGGUGGUUUGAUUAGUAUCCCGUUAAAACUUCGAGCUUAACUCGAAAAGAGCGGGGGAAACGGUCAAACUAGAGUAUGUGAGAGGUGUGUGGAACUCAUGGUGUAGGGGUGAAAUCCGUUGAUAUCAUGGGGAACACCAAAAGCGAAGGCAGCACACUGGCACAUCACUGACACUGAGGCACGAAACCUAAGGUAGCGAAUGGGAUUAGAAACCCGAGUAGUCC
rnacentral:rRNA from 1 species